rnacentral:tRNA from 1 species
GGGAAUGUGGCUCACUGGUAGAGUGUUUGCUUCAUAUGCAUGAAGCCCUGGGUUCAAUUCCCAGUACCA